rnacentral:lncRNA from 13 species
GCUAUUGGGCAGGUUUUGGCAGGGCUUUCCAAGGGUGGGCUAGGUGCCAAGUGCAGAGGGGAUUUCCAAGGCAGAGCUAGAUGAUGGGCGUAUUCUGGUGACGUAAUUUUCAGGCGGGGAGAGGGAUUGGCAUGUCUGAGCUCCCGGCGAGGCAACUAGCUCCCAAACUGCUGAGAUUACAGGAAUGAACCACCGUGCAUGGCUGAUUGUAUGUAUUUUAAGAAGGACGGAAGUUACAGGCAAACCUCAGCCAGUACACGUAGGAUGUACAUUGGUUCAGUCUGGAAAGGAGGAACAACUCAAAGCAGGGGUUUCCAGUAGAGUCUUCCUUCUACAAGAUACCAUGAAGGACCAAAGAAAAGUAAAAUUUUCAUCUUCAAAAUGAGCUUUCAUCAAAGAAAAAGGAAGAAAGAUGGCUCUAAGGAAGAAAUUAAUGGUGGCAAUGUGUGAAGAGGGGUACAAAGAACAGUGGCACGGGUAUGAUACAAAGAACAGUGGCACGGGUAUGACAUAAAGUUUUCCAUGUAAGAAUCCUGUUUAUUUCAAGAGCUAGAGACAGUACAUACUCAAGUGUUGUGGUCAGGGUAGGAAUAUAAG